AUUGAACGCUGGCGGCAUGCUUUACACAUGCAAGUCGAACGGCAGCGCGGGCUUCGGCCUGGCGGCGAGUGGCGAACGGGUGAGUAAUACAUCGGAACGUGCCCAGUAGUGGGGGAUAGCUCGGCGAAAGCCGGAUUAAUACCGCAUACGACCUGAGGGUGAAAGCGGGGGAUCUUCGGACCUCGCGCUAUUGGAGCGGCCGAUGGCAGAUUAGCUAGUUGGUGGGGUAAAGGCCUACCAAGGCGGCGAUCUGUAGCUGGUCUGAGAGGACGACCAGCCACACUGGGACUGAGACACGGCCCAGACUCCUACGGGAGGCAGCAGUGGGGAAUUUUGGACAAUGGGCGAAAGCCUGAUCCAGCAAUGCCGCGUGUGUGAUGAAGGCCUUCGGGUUGUAAAGCACUUUUGGCGGGAACGAAAGGGACUGUGCCAAUACCACGGUUCGAUGACGGUACCCACAGAAUAAGCACCGGCUAACUACGUG
rnacentral:rRNA from 1 species